rnacentral:rRNA from 1 species
GACGAACGCUGGCGGCGUGCUUAACACAUGCAAGUCGAACGGAAAGGCCCUGCUUUUGUGGGGUGCUCGAGUGGCGAACGGGUGAGUAACACGUGAGUAACCUGCCCUUGACUUUGGGAUAACUUCAGGAAACUGGGGCUAAUACCGGAUAGGAGCUCCUGCUGCAUGGUGGGGGUUGGAAAGUUUCGGCGGUUGGGGAUGGACUCGCGGCUUAUCAGCUUGUUGGUGGGGUAGUGGCUUACCAAGGCUUUGACGGUUAGCCGGCCUGAGAGGGUGACCGGCCACAUUGGGACUGAGAUACGGCCCAGACUCCUACGGGAGGCAGCAGUGGGGAAUAUUGCACGAUGGGCGGAAGCCGGAUGCAGCAACGCCGCGUGCGGGAUGACUGCCUUCGGGUUGUAAACCGCUUUCGCCUGUGACGAAGCGUGAGUGACGGUAAUGGGUAAAGAAGCACCGGCUAACUACGUA